rnacentral:tRNA from 1 species
GUCGCACGCCUGGAAAGCGUGUUUGGGAUAAUAUCCCAACGGGGGUUCGAAUCCCCCCUUCUCCGCCA